rnacentral:rRNA from 1 species
UACAGAGGGUGCAAGCGUUAAUCGGAAUUACUGGGCGUAAAGCGUGCGCAGGCGGUUGUGCAAGACAGAUGUGAAAUCCCCGGGCUACAACCUGGGAAUUGCAUUUGUGACUGCACGGCUAGAGUGUGUCAGAGGGGGGUAGAAUUCCACGUGUGAGCAGUGAAAUGCGUAGAGAUGAUGGAGGAAUACCGAUGGCGAAGGCAGGCCCCCUGGGAUAACACUGACCGCCUCAUGCACGAAAGCGUGGGGAGCAAACAGG